rnacentral:piRNA from 1 species
UGUGUGUGUGACCGUACAAGCAGAGG